rnacentral:rRNA from 1 species
UACGGAGGAUGCGAGCGUUAUCCGGAUUUAUUGGGUUUAAAGGGUGCGCAGGCGGUCUGUUAAGUCAGCGGUCAAAGCCCGGGGCUCAACCCCGGCCCGCCGUUGAAACUGGCAGUCUCGAGUUGGAGAGAAGUAUGCGGAAUGCGCGGUGUAGCGGUGAAAUGCGUAGAUAUCAGGAGGAACACCGGCGGCGAAGGCGGCUUACUGGACGGCAACUGACGUUGAGGCCCGAAAGCGUGGGGAGCGAACAGG